AUGUUGCCCACCACUGCAGGUCUUCAUCCCACCAGCUGAGCUGACAGACGUGCAGCUUUUCUUUUUUCAAGAGGAAAGGAAGAGCUGGAUGGCCACAUGUGGGUCUGUGUACCAGAUCACAGUUACUUAUGAAGACAGAGKUGGAAAGGAAUCAAAAACCCAGCGUAGAAACUUGCAAGACCCAUAAAACCAAGAUCGUGCAGGCAAUGCUUUUUCAGCAAAAUCCCUACAGUUGUGAUCUCAUGACGGAGCAGUUGCCCUGUGAGYGAUGUGCAAACAUCUAAAUGGGAAGCAAGAGGGGCUGGAGUCCAGGAGAGCGAGCAGGCGCAAACAGCAGGACCUGGCCUUGGGGCACAGACAGCAAGGAGAGCAGUCACCAGUGAAGACGCAUGGAAAAGGGGAUAGGACCUCAUUGAAUGCAACACCCCCCAUCUCCAAAUCAUCAUCAGGAUCAAUUAACUUAUAUCCAGCUGCUGUGACCAGAAUUAUCAGGAAAUCCUGGGUGUCGAGAAAUGAAGUCUUGUAUUUUGAUGAGAUCACGGGGSACUGGCUGGCAGCCAGGCACAAGGCUCUCCGUGCAACUCGUCUGCACCGCCUAACUCGGCCCUGUGCUUCCUCUGGGGGAUUUCUCUUGCAUGUAUUUCUGUGCGCUGCAAAAAGAGGGUUAGGUUUUUCUUCUGCCCAGUAUUUUAGUUUGUACCACACUCCGGAAAAGCCAGUAACUUCUCUGCAAGACCUAUCGCAGUCUCUGAAUAUAAAUCYGUCUUUGUUGGGGUGUGUGUGUGAUUUGACUGAGCCGCAUGAUCAGAGUCAGGUGACAACGUUGGGCACAAAAACGGAGUGGAAUAAGCAGUGAGACCCAGGAGAUUAGCCGCUGAUCUUGCCUUUUGACAAGCUGUGCUGCUCCUCAGGGAAAAAUGAGUGCCUGGCCCCCUCUCCUGCGUUGGAGCUUAACCGCGGCGUGGCUGACAGGUAUCGCUUUAGGCCAGACAAGCACUACGCAGGUCCCUAUUGCCGUGACACCAGUGCCUCCCAGUGCAAUGGCCGCCCAGGUCCCUGUUGCCUCAACACCAGUGCCUCCCAGCACAACUGCUGCCUCGGCCUCUGCACCCCCAGUUUCUGCUGCGACGCUCUUGGCCGGAGCAGCAUCCACCACGCCAAACCUUGCCGCGUCCACGGGAGCACCGUCUGCUGACCCAGGCGUGGGAACGUCAGCUCCGGUUCUGUCCACCACCCCAGAGGCCACAGCGGUCGCUUCCAGAAGCGCGACCACCUCCCGCGCGCCCACCGCAGCGCCUGCCACCGCCCUGUCCUCCCCGCCGGCUGCGACGGCCUCUCCCGGCGUCCCCUCGGCAGCUCCGGUCCUCACCACCUCGGAGCCCUCGGGCUGCGGCAGGGUGAACGUGACAGCGUGCCAACRUUGUUCCCCAGGGACGUUUCCCGACGACGGCACCCCGAGCUGCUCGUGCUGCCCGCAGGGCUCCUGCGCGGGCCCCGCCGAGUGCGUCCCCUGCCCGGCGGGUCACUACCAGCCCCUGAGCGGCCAGCGGUCGUGUCUGCCCUGUCCGCAGGGGUAUUACGCCAGUUUUCGGAGGAGCACCACGUGCUCUCCCUGUCCGCCUGGCUCCUACGCCAACGAGUCCGGGGCUGCAGCCUGCAGCGCGUGCCAGAAAGGUAGGCUUGGAUUUGCGUCCAGUCCAAAUGCAUUUUCAUCAAAAUCAACGAUGCUUUUACCAUAGCCAGAUGCAAUUACCAGGUGACUUAAAAGCGCUGAAGAGUAAACAGGUUAUUUUGUUCAGGCCAAAAAUAGAAUAGUAGAUCUCUUCCCGUUCUGUUAUUGACGUUUUUAUUAAAAAGGAAAGAACUGCUCUCGCACCAAGUCAUGUUCCCAUUUGCAAUAAACUAGUACUAAUGGUACA
rnacentral:lncRNA from 1 species